rnacentral:lncRNA from 1 species
GGUAACAGUAGCAGCCAUAACAAAGAAGCUUCCAACUUCAGAGCCUUCACACUGAUGUCUACAUCCCGUUUGGAUCCGGGACUGACCAUCCUCAGGUGGUGAUGCAGCAACCCAGGCUCCUUCCAGCUUGUGGCUCUGCUGUCCCCUAGGACCUUGGAGAGCUCUGUAUGGAAGGCGAGAGAAAGUGUGGCUUACGUUAGCCUGAAGUGACACCCACAUUUCACUAAGUGGAAGAACCUGGUUGUUUGGCAGGCCACUCGUCCGGGCCGUUUGGGGAUCCAGAUGCUGAAGAAGGAAGGAGCAAAGUGCCCAGUGCCUCAGGGUUUGUGGAUUCUUCCCUUUGAAGACUAGAAGGGGCUUUGCAGAUAAGGGUCAGCGUUCAGAGGCCCUCGCCAAGUCUGUGGAAUGAAGACAAAGGAGUAUAGAAUUCUGAAUUAAUUGGACCAAGGUUAAAGAUCCCAGCUUGGCCUCUUACAAGCUGCAUGACUCUG